AAUCAACGCUGGCGGCGUGCCUCGGACAUGCAAGUCGAACGCGAAAGUUCCCUUCGGGGGGCGAGUAGAGUGGCGCACGGGUGAGUAACACGUAGGUAAUCUACCUUUGGGUGGGGAAUAACAGCCGGAAACGGCUGCUAAUACCGCAUAAUGCAGCGGCUCGACAUCGAGACAGUUGUUAAAGCGGGGGAUCGCAAGACCUCGCGCCUAAAGAGGAGCCUGCGGCGGAUAGCUUGUUGGUGAGGUAAUGGCUCACCAAGGCAUCGAUCCGUAGCCGGCCUGAGAGGGCGGUCGGCCACACUGACACUGACAUACGGGUCAGACUCC
rnacentral:rRNA from 1 species